rnacentral:rRNA from 1 species
GAUGAACGCUGGCGGCGUGCCUAAUACAUGCAAGUCGAGCGAACAGACGAGGAGCUUGCUCCUCUGACGUUAGCGGCGGACGGGUGAGUAACACGUGGAUAACCUACCUAUAAGACUGGGAUAACUUCGGGAAACCGGAGCUAAUACCGGAUAAUAUAUUGAACCGCAUGGUUCAAUAGUGAAAGACGGUUUUGCUGUCACUUAUAGAUGGAUCCGCGCCGCAUUAGCUAGUUGGUAAGGUAACGGCUUACCAAGGCAACGAUGCGUAGCCGACCUGAGAGGGUGAUCGGCCACACUGGAACUGAGACACGGUCCAGACUCCUACGGGAGGCAGUAGUAGGGAAUCUUCCGCAAAGGGCGAAAGCCUGACGGAGCAACGCCGCGUGAGUGAUGAAGGUCUUCGGAUCGUAAAACUCUGUUAUUAGGGAAGAACAAAUGUGUAAGUAACUAUGCACGUCUUGACGGUACCUAAUCAGAAAGCCACGGCUAACUACGUG